UACGUAGGGUGCAAGCGUUGUCCGGAAUUAUUGGGCGUAAAGAGCUCGUAGGCGGUCUGUCGCGUCUGGUGUGAAAAUCCAGGGCUUAACCCUGGACCUGCAUCGGGUACGGGCAGACUAGAGUGCGGUAGGGGAGAUCGGAAUUCCUGGUGUAGCGGUGAAAUGCGCAGAUAUCAGGAGGAACACCAAUUGCGAAGGCAGCUCGCUGGGACGUUACUGACGCUGAGACGCGAAAGCGUGGGGAGCAAACAGG
rnacentral:rRNA from 1 species